GUAGGUGGCAAGCGUUGUCCGGGAAUUAUUGGGGCGUAAAGCGCGCGCAGGCGGUCCUUUAAGUCUGAUGUGAAAGCCCACGGGCUCAACCGUGGGAGGGUCAUUGGAAACUGGGGGACUUGAGUGCAGAAGAGAAGAGUGGAAUUCCACGUGUAGCGGUGAAAUGCGUAGAGAUGUGGAGGAACACCAGUGGCGAAGGCGACUCUUUGGUCUGUAACUGACGCUGAGGCGCGAAAGCGUGGGGAGCAAGCAGGAUUAGAUACCCUGGUAGUCCACGCCGUAAACGAUGAGUGCUAAGUGUUAGAGGGUUUCCGCCCUUUAGUGCUGCAGCAAACGCAUUAAGCACUCCGCCUGGGGAGUACGGCCGCAAGGCUG
rnacentral:rRNA from 1 species